GCGAGCGUUAAUCGGAAUUACUGGGCGUAAAGCGUGCGCAGGCGGCGCGUUAAGACAGGUGUGAAAGCCCCGAGCUUAACUUGGGAAUUGCGCUUGUGACUGGCGUGCUGGAGUGUGGCAGAGGGAGGUGGAAUUCCACGUGUAGCAGUGAAAUGCGUAGAGAUGUGGGGGAACACCGAUGGCGAAGGCAGCCUCCUGGGCCAGCACUGACGCUCAUGCACGAAAGCGUGGGGAGCAAACAGG
rnacentral:rRNA from 1 species